rnacentral:tRNA from 1 species
GGGGUUAUGGCUCAGCGGUAGAGCGCUCACCUCACACGUGUGAGGUCCUGGGUUCGAUCCUCAGCACCA